rnacentral:rRNA from 1 species
UAGGGAAUCUUCCGCAAUGGGCGAAAGCCUGGCGGAGCAACGCCGCGUGAGUGAUGAAGGUCUUCGGAUCGUAAAACUCUGUUAUUAGGGAAGAACAUAUGUGUAAGUAACUGUGCACAUCUUGACGGUACCUAAUCAGAAAGCCACGGCUAACUACGUGCCAGCAGCCGCGGUAAUACGUAGGUGGCAAGCGUUAUCCGGAAUUAUUGGGCGUAAAGCGCGCGUAGGCGGUUUUUUAAGUCUGAUGUGAAAGCCCACGGCUCAACCGUGGAGGGUCAUUGGAAACUGGAAAACUUGAGUGCAGAAGAGGAAAGUGGAAUUCCAUGUGUAGCGGUGAAAUGCGCAGAGAUAUGGAGGAACACCAGUGGCGAAGGCGACUUUCUGGUCUGUAACUGACGCUGAUGUGCGAAAGCGUGGGGAUCAAACAGGAUUAGAUACCCUGGUAGUCCACGCCGUAAACGAUGAGUGCUAAGUGUUAGGGGGUUUCCGCCCCUUAGUGCUGCAGCUAACGCAUUAAGCACUCCGCCUGGGGAGUACGACCGCAAGGUUG